GUCUAACCUGCUCNAUGAUGAAUUAUUAAAUAGCCGCGGUAUUUUGACCGUGCAAAGGUAGCAUAAUCAUUAGUUUUUUAAUUGAAAACUCGUAUGAAUGGUUGGACAAAGGAGGUACUGUCUCUCUUAUUAGAAUUGAAUUUAACUUUUAAGUGAAAAGGCUUAAAUAUUUCAAAGGGACGAUAAGACCCUAUAAAGCUUUAUAAAUUUAAAAAUUUUGUAGAUUUAUACACAUAUUAACAAUUUUUUGAUUGUUUAUUUGGUUGGGGCGACGACAGUAUAAUAAAAGUAACUGCUUUAAAAUAGUACAAAGAUGGUUGAGUAGUGUUGAUUAGUUGAUCCUUUUUAAAGAUUCCAAGAUCAAGUUACUUUAGGGAUAACAGCGUUAUUUUUUCUGAGAGUUCUUAUCAAAGGAAAAGUUUGCGACCUCGAUGUUGAAUUAAAAUAUCUAUAUAGUGCAGCAGCUAUAAGAGAGGGUCUGUUCGACCUUUAAUGUUUUACAUGAUUUGAGUUCAGACCGGCGAGAGCCAGGUCGGUUUCUAUCUUUUGGAAAGGGGUUAUUUACUUUAGUACGAAAGGAUUAAGUAGGUGGAAAUAUUUUAAUGAAUGGAAU
rnacentral:rRNA from 1 species